rnacentral:lncRNA from 1 species
AUGUUCCUAAAUCUGUCACUAUCCGUCACCGAUCGAACUACUUCACGCGCACCCUCAUCGCGAUCCCAACCGCAUGUCACUGUCCAGAUCCGCCGGUAUUCCUUUCUCUAUUUCAAUCUUGUUUUUUUUUAGUUUGUUGUUUAUGUGUGAUUGAGGUUGUUGUGAGAUUGUUUGGUUCUUUUGGAAAAUAA